UGUUCGCGCAAGGUUUUCAGAGAGAAUUAAAUGCUCGCUACCUAACAGGCUUAUCUCAUUCAAUACACAAUUAUAGUGAAUGAUAAGUGUUGUCUCUGGUACAUGUUUGAAUACAGUAGUACAACAACUUCUAGGAUCUAGAGGAAAAAGUUGCCGAUGAAGAAAGAUGUAAGGAAGGAUUUGGAGGCAUUUGAAGUUCUUCAUUGCUUCCUUCUAACAUUUCAACUACCUUAGUCAUUGAAGGUCGAUUGGUUGGAUGUGUUUGUAUGCACCAAAGAGCCACUAUGAUCAUUUUUUUCGCAGUUUCGACCAUAAAAGUCUCUUCAGAAUCUUCUGCUGUGAUGACUUUGGGUCCUUCUACGUUAAAAUCCUGCAUAAGAUGAUUAUAUAUCCAAUGGGGAAAAUAAAUCUCGCUAGUGUUUUUCACUGUUACAUCAAAGUUUUUCCUUCCUCCGAUCAUUUCUAAUACCAUCAUACCAUAACUAUAGACAUCCGAUUUGUGAGAGACACCUCCGAGAUUUCUGAAACAGAUUUCAGGUGCAAUAUAACCCAUAGUCCCUCGAGCCCCAACCAUAGAGACAAUGCUUUCUUUGGUUGGACAAAGUUUAGCUAGCCCAAAGUCAGAGAUCUUUGGGCAAAAGUCUUUGUCUAAAAGGAUAUUGUGAGGUUUAAUGUCAAAGUGCAGAAUACGAGUGUUACAACGACAAUGCAAGUAUUCCAACCCUCUAGCAAUUCCAAGUGCUAUUUGGUAAAGAUUAUCCCAUCCCAAAGUAGUAGUACUGGUACCUGGCGUCUUAUCGCUGUAGAUGAACCUUUCAAGAGAGCCAUUCGGCAUAAAUUCAUACACCAAUGCUCGUUUGGUUCCUUCAGUACAAAAGCCCAGGAGGCUAACCACAUUAACAUGGUUCGUCCUACCAAUUGUAGCGACUUCGUUGAUAAACUCUUCCCCAUCACCCUUGGGUUCCUUCAAUACCUUAACCGCCACCAAAUGACCAUCAUCACUAAGAGUCCCUUUGAACACACAGCCAUAUCCUCCUUGGCCCAAUGUAUCCUUGAAGAAAUUGGUCAUUUUCUUAAUAUCGGAGUAUUUGUAUCUUUGUAGUGCAGGACCCCCAUAGCUCUCUAAGAGCACUUCCACAUUCGUAGCGAUUUUGGCUUUAUUCUUCCAACCAGAAAUAGUUGAGCAGUAAAAGGAAUAUAAUGUUCUUCCAUAGACAAGGAGUAAGAUUAGAAAUAUUCCCACAAUUCCAAUAGAUACACCUAUAAACAGAGGAAGGAUAUUAAGUUCACAAAGCAGAAUACGUAUUAAAGAGUUCCAGUUUAGGAGUUUAAGUACUCAGCAUAUUCGUAAUUGGCUUACCGAUUAUGAUCUUCAGUCCAGUAGCCAUGCCUGCAAGCAUGAGGUUGUCAGUAUUAAUACAUACACAUAUACACACAUUUGGAAUGGAACAAGACAGAAAACUGUAAAGAGAAUUUUACCUGGUUGUGAUAUUUUUUUGUUAGAGGGACAAGUAGUAUUAUAUAGGUUUGAGAAGUCGGAGCCGCAGGCACAUUUAUGAUAACUCCCAUCUGUUGUGUUGUUAUUCUGGUAAGUGCACAAUCCACCUGAACGCUCGCAAUCCUCACAUUCAUUAUUAGUAGGUGCAGACCAAAGUAGAUCAAACCCGAACUUUGCUGAUCUAGUGAAGUUAAAAGCAUGAUAAAUGCUUAAUGGUGCCAAUACAGUCUCCUCACAAUUUCCAUACCAAUCAAAUGUUUUUGGAAUGUAUUCUUUGUAAGGGAAAGCAUAUGAACGGCGUCCAGUAGUCGGUUUAUCUAGACAAGAUAGAUGAUACUGCCCAACAUCUGUAUAAUUAGGGUAGCCGCUGCAAUUAUAGAAAAUGGUCCAGUUAAAGUAGACGUAGUGGACAUAGUCCAGCAAUGGUGUGGAUUCCAGUGAGACAUUUCGUCGUGGAUGAGGACAUUCUUGUCGAUCGACAUCCACAUCCACCAGUCUAAGUAUCUUGGUGUCGUAGGUAAUGUUUUGCACAUUGUAAACAUGGUUGGACAUAUUCAUGAACGGUUUUCCAUCUUCAUCUCCACAUUUUAUCUCUAAUUCUGGAUACCCACAGUAACUGAUGUCGCUGCUGUUUUCCUGAUUUUGGUACCAAAACGGAUAACGAAUUUGGACCUCAUUGCCAUUAGGGCAUCUGUAGUAAUCAUUUCCACCAUAGUAACAAGAAGCAGAUGCCACCACAAGAAGGUUGUUAAAGACGAAAAGGUUGAUGAUGACAACAAUGAAAGAUAUGAGCUGAAACAAAUGAAACAUGAUCAAUGAUGACUUGCAAAAUCAUACAAAACUUUAGUUCUUCUACUUCUCUUUCUCUUGAUCAAUAUAUGCAUCAGAAGAAAAGUCCGCUUUAUGACUAUACUUCAACAUUAAUAUGUGGACAGUUUAGGUUCAGCUACUCAUUCAACAUGUGAAUGAAAUGGAAGAAAAAGAAAUGGAGAAAGAUACCACCGUGUGCAUGUGGCACCCAUAACCCACCUCAUUGACUAAUGGAGCCAUUUCAGAAUAAUCAACCUCCAAUGCCGUGAAGAAAUCACUUUGGUUCGCAGCAGCGCUGACGAGCGACUGGCAUGAAAUUCUCAGAAGCAUCUCGCCAGUGCACAUUUGCAUAGAAAAAAAAAUCUUGGAUUGGAGUUUUUGGAUUUCUUUUAUCUUUGAAAAAAAAAUGUCAAUUUUAGAAAAUAAGUAAAUCGUUUUAAAAAUUAAGAGAAAAAAGAGAUAUGUCAUAUGUGAACGUGUUUUCUGUUAAGGGUCAUUGUACAUUUGUACAUGUUAUAUAUGCUCUAUACUGGCUUUAAGUCUUCGACAAAAGAAUUUGUCAAUUUGAGAAAUUUAAUUACUGGUUAAAUUUUUUUAAAAAGUAACACUCAAUGGUAAUAUUAUAAUUUCCAUUAAGAUGACAAUAAGACGGAAAAUUCAAAAGCCACAACCAAUGUAUAUACAUAUAAAACAAGUAGAGCACACAUUGCACGACGGUCACGGUCGGACUCAAUUACAAAGUUCACACAACUUCACAUUUUAAUUUACAGAUCUAACAGUAUACAUAGUUUUUCAGAGAUAUUCAAUAUGGAUAGUUAAAUCAGAGUUCGUGCCUCCGUGGUACAUAUUCAAUUUCAUUAGUAGUAGAGUAACUUUUACGAUGAAGAAGAAGAAGAUAGAGACAGAGGAUCUAAGGAAGGAUUUGGAGGCAUUUGAAGUUCUUCAUUGCUUGCUUCUAACAUUUCAACUACCUUAGUCAUUGAAGGUCGAUUGGCUGGGUGAGUUUGUAUGCACCAAAGAGCCACCAUGAUCAUCUUUUUGGCCGUUGGGUCCUUCAA
rnacentral:lncRNA from 1 species